GCGGAUGUAGUUCAAUGGUAGAACACUAGCUUCCCAAGCUAGGAACGCGGGUUCGAUUCCCGUCAUCCGCUCCA
rnacentral:tRNA from 10 species